UCAAGCGAACAAGGGCGCAGGGCGAAUGCCUUGGCACUGGGAGCCGAUGAAAGACGUGAUAAGCUGCGAUAAGCUUCGGGGAGCUGCAAAUAAGCAUUGAUCCGGAGAUUUCUGAAUGAGGAAACUCACCUGGGUUCAUACUCAGGUACGUUGUACUGAAAUUCAAAAUAGGUACAUCGGGGGAACCGCCUGAACUGAAACAUCUAAGUAGGGCGAGGAAGAGACAUCAAACGAGAUUCCGUAAGUAGUGGCGAGCGAACGCGGAAGAGGGCAAACCGAAGGUAGAAAUACCUUCGGGGUACGGACUGCUUUUAGGACUCGAUCUGUUAACCGAACGGCAUGGGAAGGCCGGUCAGAGAGUGUGAGAACCACGUAGGUGAAAACGGAAAGAGCUGCGCAGAAUCCAGAGUACGGCCAGACACGUGAAACCUGGUCGGAAGAUGGGGGGACCACCCUCCAACCCUAAAUACUACCCAGUGACCGAUAGCGUAUAGUACUGUGAAGGAAAGGUGAAAAGCACCCCGGGAGGGGAGUGAAAAAGAACCUGAAACCCUGUGCCUACAAGCACCUAGAGCACGUCAAAGUGUGAUAGGGUACUUUUUGUAGAACGGUCCGGCGAGCGAUUGUAUGCAGCAAGGUUAAGGACUUAAGGUCUGGAGCCGAAGCGAAAGCGAGUUUGAAAAGGGCGUUAAGUUGCAUAUAAUGGGCCCGAAACCGGGUGACCUACCCAUGGUCAGGUUGAAGUGGAAGUAAAAUUCCAUGGAGGACCGAACCGACCUCCGUUGAAAAGGCGGCGGAUGAACUGUGGGUAGCGGAGAAAUUCCAAUCGAACCCGGAGAUAGCUGGUUCUCCCCGAAAUAGUUUUAGGACUAGCCUCAAGUUAGAUACCUGGAGGUAAAGCACUGAAUAGCCUAGCGGCCGAGAGGUUAGCGAAGCUUAUCAAACUCAGAAUGCCAGAGUAUUGAUGCUUGGGAGUCAGACAGUGUCAGAUAAAUGUCAUUGUCAAAAGGGAAACAGCCCAGAUCUACAGCUAAGGUCCCAAAGUCAGGUUAAGUGGAAAACGAUGUGAAGAUACGCAGACAACCAGGAUGUUGGCUCAGAAGCAGCCACUCAUUCAAAGAGUGCGUAAUAGCUCACUGGUCGAGCGUCUUUGCGCGGAGAAUUUAACGGGGCUAAACCUGACACCGAAGCUUAGGCAAUCCAGCAAUGGAUUGGGUAGGGGAGCGUUGUAUACGCGGAGAAACAGUAGCGUAAGCGGCUGUGGAGUGUAUAGAAGUGAGAAUGCCGGAAUGAGUAGCGCGAAUGCAGUGAGAAUCUGCAUGGCCGAAAGCCUCAGGUUUUUGGAGGAAGGUUCGUCCGCUCCAAGUUAGUCGGGAGCUAAGGUGAGGCCGGAAGGCGUAGCCGAUGCACAGACGGUAGAGAUUCCGUCACCACCAAAAGAGUUAAGCACAGGGACACAUUUGAAGUCUCAGAGCCGGGUGUUGGUUCCGGUAGAGAUCGAGGGAAAUUAGUACCGAAGUCUGGGAUGGAAGAUGGCGAGAAAAGCUGUGUGUAUUUCUGAGGUGCCCGUACCGCAAACCGACACAGGUAGGUAGGAAGAAGAUUCUAAGGCCAACGGGAGAAGGGUUGUUAAGGAACUCGGCAAAUUGACCCCGUAACUUCGGGAGAAGGGGUGCUCCAGAGAUGGAGCCGCAGAGAAUCGGCCCAAGCAACUGUUUACCAAAAACACAGGUUUGUGCUAAAUCGAAAGAUGACGUAUACGAGCUGACGCCUGCCCGGUGCUGGAAGGUUAAGAGGAGAUGUGCAAGCAUUGAAUCGAAGCCCCAGUGAACGGCGGCCGUAACUAUAACGGUCCUAAGGUAGCGAAAUUCCUUGUCGGGUAAG
rnacentral:rRNA from 1 species